AUUGAACGCUGGCGGAAUGCUUUACACAUGCAAGUCGAGCGGCAGCGCGGGGCAACCUGGCGGCGAGCGGCGAACGGGUGAGUAAUACAUCGGAACGUGCCCAGACGUGGGGGAUAACUACUCGAAAGAGUGGCUAAUACCGCAUACGAUCUAAGGAUGAAAGCGGGGGAUCGCAAGACCUCGCGCGUUUGGAGCGGCCGAUGGCAGAUUAGGUAGUUGGUGGGGUAAAGGCUUACCAAGCCCGCGAUCUGUAGCUGGUCUGAGAGGAUGAUCAGCCACACUGGGACUGAGACACGGCCCAGACUCCUACGGGAGGCAGCAGUGGGGAAUUUUGGGACAAUGGGCGAAAGCCUGAUCCAGCCAUUCCGCGUGCAGGAUGAAGGCCCUCGGGUUGUAAACUGCUUUUGUACAGAACGAAAAAGACUCUUUCUAAUACAGAGAGUCCAUGACGGUACUGUAAGAAUAAGCACCGGCUAACUACGUGCCAGCAGCCGCGGUAAU
rnacentral:rRNA from 1 species